UAGUCUGNAACCCGACUACAUGAAGCUGGAAUCGCUAGUAAUCGCGAAUCAGAAUGUCGCGGUGAAUACGUUCCCGGGUCUUGUACACACCGCCCGUCACACCAUGGGAGUUGGAAAUGCCCGAAGCCGGUGACCGAACCUUAGGGACGGAGCCGUCGAAGGUGGAGCCAAUGACUGGGGUGAAGUCGUAACAAGGUAUC
rnacentral:rRNA from 1 species